rnacentral:rRNA from 1 species
GAUCCUGGCUCAGGAUGAACGCUGGCGGCGUGCUUAACACAUGCAAGUCGAACGAAACACCUUAUUUGAUUUUUCUUCGGAACUGAAGAUUUGGUGAUUGAGUGGCGGACGGGUGAGUAACGCGUGGGUAACCUGCCUCAUACAGGGGGACAACAGUUAGAAAUGACUGCUAAUACCGCAUAACCCGCUAGGGCCGCAUGGCCCGGACGGAAAAGGAGCGAUCCGGUAUGAGAUGGACCCGCGUCUGAUUAG